rnacentral:tRNA from 1 species
GCCCCUGUAGUUCAACGGAUAUAAUACCUUGGAUCGCACCGGGAGGUAUGGGUUCAAUUCCCAUCAGGGGCACCA